GACAGAGGGGGCAAGCGUUGCUCGGAAUUACUGGGCGUAAAGGGCGCGUAGGCGGGAUGGCAAGUCGGUCGUGAAAUCCCUCGGCUCAACCGAGGAACGUCGAUCGAUACUGCUGUUCUUGAGGAUUGCAGAGGAGACUGGAAUUCCCGGUGUAGCGGUGAAAUGUGCAGAGAUCGGGAGGAACACCGGUGGCGAAGGCGGGUCUCUGGGCAAUUCCUGACGCUGAGGCGCGAAAGCGUGGGGAGGCAAACGGG
rnacentral:rRNA from 1 species